CACAGUUUAACAUGAUGGACUAUAGGACAGGACUGCUGCUUUUAACUCUCUGCUGGGCAGGUGUUGAUGGUCAGACUCUGACUGAAUCUGAACCAGUGGUUAAAAGACCUGGAGAAUCUCACAGACUGACCUGUACAGCCUCUGGAUUCACAUUCAGCAGCUACCACAUGGCCUGGGUCAGACAGGCUCCUGGAAAAGGACUGGAGUGGGUUGCCUGGAUUUAUAGUAGUGCUGGUAGCAGCACACACUACUCUCAGUCAGUCCGAGGCCGGUUUACCAUCUCCAGAGACAACAGCAGACAGCAGCUGUAUCUGCAGAUGAACAGUCUGAAGACUGAAGAUUCUGCUGUUUAUUAUUGUGCUCGAGAUCCACACAGUGACUGAAGCUGGUUGCGCAGCUGUACAAAAUCCUACAAUCCUUUCAGGCUGGUCGAGCCCAAGCAUUAAGAAUGUUUUUGUAAUAUUCAUAGUAUAUUUCAGAUAUUUCUUUUAAUUUUUAAUUGUUUUAUUCUAUGUAAUUUAUUACAUAAUAAUUUAUGUAAUAUGUACACAAUUUUCAAAUAAAAAUAAAUCACUCUUUGUCCCUGCAUUCAAGAAAUUCCUG